rnacentral:rRNA from 1 species
UACGAGGGGGGCGAGCGUUGUUCGGAAUUAUUGGGCGUAAAGGGUGCGUAGGCGGUUUGGUAAGUCUUAUGUGAAAUCUAUGGGCUCAACUCAUAGACUGCAUGAGAAACUGCCGGGCUUGAGUAUGGGAGAGGUGAGUGGAAUUCCUGGUGUAGCGGUGAAAUGCGUAGAUAUCUGGAGGAACACCGGUGGCGAAGGCGACAUCCUGGUCUGCGACUGACGCUGAUGCGCGAAAGCAAGGGGAGCGAACGGG